CCAACAGGUUGCAGAGUAAGAUGAAAUGACAUUCCAUGUUAGAUUUGAUCAUCACUAUACGGAAGAUACACUGGCUGGUCCCUGACUGAAUAUACCCUCAGGUUAUUAGGUACAUCCACCUGGUCCCUGACUGAAUAUACACUCAGGUUAUUAGGUACAUCCACCUGGUCCCUGACUGAAUAUACACUCAGGUUAUUAGGUACAUCCACCUGGUCCCUGACUGAAUAUACACUCAGGUUAUU